UGGACUAAAAUUUAUCUAAUCUGUAAAUGUGUCAUUUGUUCCCAAAUUUGUGGAUGUAUUGACGUUGUCCAUAACAUGAAUACAUACGUCACACAAAUACUCUGUCAUAGCUUGAGUUGAGUGAUAAUUUAUUUUCCGUUACUUCUUUAGUUAUUUCUACGAUAGUAUAUUUGUAAUACGGUAGUUUGAACGACAAAACGAAGAAUGGUGCUGAAAAUAAUAAAAAAAUUAACCAAACAAAAAUACCAUUCAUUUUUGGAACGAGGAUCUAUAUUAUUUUUUUUCAUUAUAUAUUUGUCUUCAUGUAAUAGAUUUCCGACCCAAAUUGAAAAUGUUUACCGUACUUUAGAAUGCAAUAAGACUGGU